AACUCUGGACACCAAAACCUCCCUUAACUACUCAGGGAGAGUUUGAUAAAUUGUUCUGCGAGGCCACACGGGUACGGGUAGUUUUUUUUUUAUUCAAGCGUGUCUUAGCUCCGCCCGCUCGCACUGACUUUGACAAGCGUAAGCAGCAACCAACCGGGUGAGCGUCGACGAAUCGAGCUCAUCCCCACAGUGGCGUCUUCUCUCCAUGCUGAAAACGUGCAAGCGCUCCUGGGCGAGAGGAAAACCGCGGACGACCGCAGUGAACGUGGUUUUGCUGCAGCAGAUCCAGGGAGAGGAGCCUGUUUGCAUUCCAGUGCAGGUGCAAGACAAUGGAGGUGAAAAUCGAAGAGCAGGACGAAGACAACACUUUCAGCAACACUGACACUAAUGGUAAACGGCCAGCGGAGGACAUGGACGAGGAGCAGGCCUUCAAACGUUCUCGCAACGCAGACGAGAUGGUGGAGCUGCGUGUGCUUCUUCAGAGCAAAAAUGCCGGUGCUGUUAUUGGAAAGGGUGGCAAGAACAUAAAAGCCCUACGCACAGACGAUCCUGAGUGUGAAUGCCAGCAUCGACACUAUUGGAGAGAUUCUUCUGAAAAUCAUACCAACUCUAGAGGAGUACCAGCAUUACAGUGGGAUUGAUUUUGACAGUGAGCUUCGCCUGCUGAUCCAUCAGAGCUUGGCAGGAGGCAUCAUCGGGGUUAAAGGUGCCAAGAUAAAGGAGCUGAGAGAGAACACCCAGACCACCAUCAAGUUGUUCCAGGAGUGCUGUCCACACUCCACUGACAGGGUCGUCUUGGUGGGAGGAAAGCCAGAACGUGUCAUUGAAUGUAUAAAAGUUAUCCUGGAGCUGGUGUCAGAGGCACCAAUCAAAGGUCGUGCUCAGCCUUAUGACCCCAAUUUCUACGAUGAGACAUAUGACUACGGUGGUUUCACCAUGUUAUUCGAGGAGAGAGGCAGACGACCCAUAGGUGGCUUCCCCAUUCGUGUGCGUGGGGGCUUUGAGCGCAUGCCCCCCGUUCGUGGCAACAGACCCAUGCCUCCGUCCAGAAGGGACUACGACGACAUGAGCCCCCGUCGGGGUCCCCCACCACCACUGAGCAGAGGUGGACGAGGGGGCAGCCGUGCACGUAACCUGCCUCUUCCUCCGCCACCGCCACCAAGAGGAGGGGGAGACAGGUUCUCACAUGGCAGCUAUCACGGCAGCAUGGACGACAGACCAAGCGACAGAAGAGGCAGAGGAGACCGCUACGACAGCAUGAGCGGAGGCGGAUAUGACAACAAUUCUUCCUGGGAGCACUUUCAGUCCGGUGGUAGAGGCUCAUACAGUGACAUUGGAGGCCCAGUCAUCACAACACAAGUCACCAUCCCAAAAGAUCUUGCUGGCUCCAUCAUCGGUAAGGGCGGCCAGAGGAUCAAGCAGAUCCGCCAUGAGUCCGGGGCAUCCAUCAAGAUUGAUGAACCACUAGAGGGCUCUGAGGACCGCAUCAUCACCAUCACAGGAACACAGGACCAGAUCCAGAAUGCCCAGUACCUGCUGCAGAACAGGCAUGUGCUCCUGUGAUUCUUCAAAAAGAAAAAAAACCUCAUCUCAUUGAAGCAGUGCGGUCUCCUCGGAUGGCCUUGUGAGGCAGUACUCCGGGCGGUUCUUCUAGGAACAAGGAAGUGAAGAAGAAGAUUGAAGCCAUGCUGCCAUACUGUUUGCUCCUUUUAUUCAGAGCCUACAUUCCUCUGCUUUGGGUAGAUGUGCCCCCUCCCUUCACUAUCACACUCUACAACCAUCUAUCUAUAAAUUGCGAUUUUUAUUUUGAGGAGUUUUUAAAAAAAAAUCUUAAGCUGUCAAACAGCAAACGAGGAGUCAACAACAUGUUUCUGUGCUGGUGUAAUUAUUUUUUAGGAGAGUCUUGUGCCGUCAUUGGAGUAAACUCAUCUGUGAUAGCUUUUGGUGUUGUGUGCCGCCCCUGGCCCUUAUCUCCCUCAUUUCAGUACAGCAUGCAGAAUGUAAUCUUUUGUAAGAAACAUUACGUGAUUUUUUUAAAUUUUUUUUUUGUUCCCCUCAAGCACACUCUUCAAAUGAAGAUGCAUGGUCUCUGAAUGGUUAAAUAACCAUUUUGCUUUUAAUUUUUACACAAGAUCCAAGAUCCUUUUCCACUGUCAACUGAAGUGCUUUUUUUGUAAGAUGGGCUUUAAUGGAGAAGUUUGACAUUUUGGGGAAAUAUCGGUAUGUGUUUCUGGGAGAGGAAAAUAUCAUAUUGAUUGAAAAGAUCAAUACUUAAUGUGUGUGUGGCAAAUAUGAAGCUAUAGCCAGCAGUCGCUUAGCUUAGCAUAAAGACAGGAAACAGCUAGCCUGGCUCUGUCCAGCGGCCACAUGAUCCACCUACCAGCACCUCUAACGCUAACACUUCAUGUUUUGUUUAAUACGUACAAAAAGCAAAUUGUACUAAUAUAAAAUUACCUUUUUAGAGCAGGUGAUAUAUAUAGUUAGCCAGCUACCUGUGAGCAGUAAUUUAACUUCAGUCUCUCUUGUAACCCCAUGUAAACCAAUGAAUUAUUGUUUUUAUUCUUUUUUUUGUUUGUUUGGUUUAAAAAACCCCACAAACAAUGUGUUAGCAGCUGGUACUGCUGCUAGUUGUUUCCAGUCUUUGUGCUAAGCUAACUGGCUGCUAGCACCAACCUAGCUUCACAAUUUGCUAAUAUAUUUAUAUUUAUAAUAUAAAAUGGACAGAUUAGAAGCGGUAUCAGCUCCCUCAUCUGGCUAGCUAACUCUGCACCAGAAACUGAAUGAGCGAGUUCUCCUCAAUGUCGUUCUUUUGCUUUAAGUUGGGAUAAACGUGCCAGUGUGAUAUAGUUAAAAGAAAAUUUUUAAGAAUUUUUGUUUUUCAUUGAAAGACAAGGAGCUGUAUAAAGUGUGUGUAUAUAUUUACAUAGAAACAGUAAUUUCAUGAGUAGUUAAAUAGGCCCAGAAUACUUUCUCUUGGAAGAAGAUGGCGCCAUAAGACAGGUUUGGUCAAUUAUUUCUUUCUUUCUCUUAUUAUUUGAUUUAUUUUCUGCCACUCACCGUGAUGGACUCGCUGUAAUGCAAACCUUAAUAUCUAAUCUGUUUAAAUCCAUUUAUUCUUGAUAAUUGUUUUUAAUUUUGACAGUUUUGGAAGCAUUUUUUUAAGCUGCAGUUUGAUGUAAGGAGUCCAUGAGUGGUGUUUUCUGUCCGGUCAUAUCUGUAUCUCUGUAUGAAAUGAUAUCUGUAGUACCUGCAGGUGUUGAGUAAAUAAAGUCUGUGUCACAGUUCGA